CGCGCCGGCCUCGGGAGCCCGCUCUCUUCGUAGGUGCGGGUCCCUGUCCUCCCUGUCCUGCUUCGCCGCAGAGCAGAACGUGUGUGCUUUAAGGGCAGAGACAUCUGAAGAAGAUGCCUUGCCUUGCUCUCUGGAGGGGUCUGAUACAAUCUCUGCACAAUAUAAAAAGCACACAGGGGCCGGACGCGGUGGCUCACUCCUGUAAUCCCAGCACUUUGGGAGGCUGAGGUGGGUGGAUCACGAGGUCAAGAGAUCGAGACCAUCCUGGUCAACGUGGUAAAACCCCAUCUCUACUAAAAAUACAAAAAAUUAGCUGGGCAGCUACUCAGGAGGCUGAGGCAGGAGAAUUGCUUGAAUCCAGGAGGUGGAGGUUGCGGUGAGCCGAGAUCCCGCCAUUGCACUCCAGCCUGGGUAACGAGCGAAACUCCGUCUCAAAAAAAAAAAAAAAGAAAAAAAGCACACAGGUUACCUAUAUGGUCACUGGCUUAACAUUACCAAAACUCAUCAAACUGUAUACUUAAUGCUUGUACAUUUUAUUGUAUGUAAAUUAUACUGCAGUAAAGUUGAUAAAACAGAGAUCUUUGAAAAUAGAUGGUACCCAUUUGCUACCUGAACAAACACCACAACCACACAGAGGGAGAUGUUAUGAUCCCAUUUAACAGAUAAGCUGGUCCAGGCGCGGUGGCUCAUACCUGUAAUCCCAGCAUUUUGGGAGGCUGAGGAGGGCAGAUCACCUGAGAUCAGGAGUUCAAGACCAGUCUGGCCAACAUGGCUAAACAAGGUCUCUACAAAAAUAUAAAAAUUAGCUGGGCAUGAUGGCAGGUCCCUAUAAUCCCAGCUACUUGGGAGGCUGAGGCAAGAGAAUCACUUGAACGCAGGAGGCAGAGGCUGCAAUGAGCCAAGAUUGUGCCAUUGCAUUCCAGCCUGGGUGACAGAGUGAGACUCUGUCUUAAAAACAAACAAACCAAAACAGACAAUCUGGUGGAUAAGGUGGUCUUUGUCCAUUUGGGCUGCUAGACAACCAUAGACUGAGUGACUUAUAAACAUCAUAAAUUUUUUUCUCACAGUUUUAGUGGCUGGGAAGUUCAAGGCACUGUAAGAUUCAUUGGUGAGGGUUCACUUCCUCAUUGACAGCUGUCUCGCUACUGUAAUCUCACUUGGUGGAAGGGCUAACUAGUUUUUUCCACCCGUCUCCUUCAUAAAGGCAUUUCUCCUAUUCAUGAGGGUUCCACUCUCAUGACCCAAUCACCUCCCAAAGGCCCCACCUCCUGAUAUCAUCACCUUGGGAAUUAUAAUUUCAAUAUGUUAAUUUGGGGGGUUGGGACAAACAGACUACAACAAAGGUUAAUAACAAAUAAGUGGCAAAGCCAGAAUCUGUGUCUUGGACUGACUCCAGACUCAAAGCUUGUGAUCGGUCACUGGGCAGGUCCAGGGCUGGCAUCAAGGUGACUUAAGGUUAAAUAGAAAAGAGAGACCUGGCUGGGCGCGGUGGCUCAACGCCUGUAAACCCAGCACUUUGGGGGGCUGAGGCGGGCAGAUCACGAGGUUGGAGUUCAAGACCAGCCUGACCAACAUGGUGAAACCCCCAUCUCUACUAAGAAAAUACAAAAAUUAGCCAUGCAUGGUGGUGUGUGCCUGUAAUCCCAGCUACUCAGGAGGCUGAGGCAGGAUAAUCACUUGAUCCCGGGAGGUGGAGGCUGCGGUGAGCCAGGAGCACACCACCGUAAUCCCACCUGGGUGACAGAGUGAGCCUCAUUCUCAAAUAAAUAAAUAAGUAAAAUAUAAAAUAAAAAUAGAGAGACAGGAGAUCUCCCUAUGUUUGUUUCCUAGGCUGGUCUUGAACUCCUUGGCUCACGGGACCCUCCCACUGCAGCCUCCCAAAGGGCUGGCAUUACAGGUGUGAGCCACUGCCUCUGGCCCUGGAUUAUAUAUACACAUAUUGACAAUUUUUUUUUUUUUUUGAGACAGAGUUUCGCUCUUGUUACCCAGGCUGGAGUGCAAUGGCGCGAUCCCGGGUCACCGCAACCUCCACCUCCUGGGUUCAAGCAAUUCUCCUGCCUCAGCCUCCCAAGUAGCUGGGACUACAGGCGUGUGCCACCAUGCCCAGCUAAUUUUUGUAUUUUUAGUAGAGAUGGUGUUUCACCUUGUUGACCCGGAUGGUCUCGAUCUCUUGACCUUGUGAUCCACCCACCUCGGCCUCCCAAAGUGCUGGGAUUAUAGGCAUGAGCCACCGCGCCUGACCCAUAUUGGUUUUUUUUUUUUUUGAGAGAGAGUCUCACUCUGUUGCCCACGCUGAAGUGCAGUGGCACGAUCUCAGCUCAUUGCAACCUCCACCUUUUGGGUUCAAAUGAUUCUUGUGCCUCAGCCACUCGAAAAGCUGGGAUUACAGGCACAUGCCACCAUACUUGGCUAACUUUUGUAUUUUUAGUAGAGACAGUGUUUUACCACAUUGUUCAGGCUGGUCUCAAACUCCUGACCUCAAGUGAUUCUCCUACCUCAGCUUCCUAAAGUGGUGGGAUUACAGGUGUGAGCCACUGUGUCCAGCCUGGAUGAUGUUUUAUAAGGCCAUGAGGAAAGGAGAAGACUUGGGUAGCGAAUGAAAAAAGAGAGCUAUCAGGAGUGGAAAGGAUCAGAGAGUGGAUGAUAGUGUCAUUUUGAAAUCCGAAAGUGCAGGCUGAGUGUAGUAGCUCAUGCCUAUAAUCCUAGCACUUUGAUAGGCCAGAGUGGGAGGAUUACUUGAGCCCAGGAGUUCAAGACCAGUCUGGGCAACACAGCUGAAACCCCCAUCUCUACAAAAAUAACAAAUAAAUAAAGUAGAAGAAAAAAUCUGAAAAUGCAGGUGUAGUGGAUACGCUGGUGUGCUACGUUUCAGGCCUGAGAUACUUACUUCCUCAGCUGCCAGGAGGGUUGCCAGCUAACAACUCUUGAAUGAGUCCCUGUCCAGCAACUGUCUUCAGCCAACAAAACCACUUUACAAAAAAUUGCAUUCCUUUCGUUGGGGCAGCCCAUCUCCAAGGGCUAGUCUAGGAGGAUGCUAUAGUUUGGAUGUGGUUUGUUCCCACGCAAACUCAUGUUGAAGUUUAAUUGCCAGUGUGGCAGUGUUGGAGCUGGGGCCUAGUGUGAGGUGUUGGCUCAUGGUGGUGGACUCAUAGUGAAUAGAUUGGAACAAACUCUUGUUCCUAGGAAACUGGAUUUAUUCUUAUGGGAAUGGAUUAGCUCCUGAGAGAGCAAGUUUCUUUUAUUUAUUUAUUUAUUUUUUUGAGAUGGAGUCUCUGUUGCCCAGUCUGCAGUGCAGUAGCACGAUUUUGGCUUACUGCAACCUCUGCCUCCUGGGUUCAAGCGAUUCUCCUGUCUCAGUCUUCCAAGUAGCUGGGAUUACAGGUGCCUCCUGCCAGGCCCAACUAAUUUUGGUAUUUUUAUUAGAGACAGGGUUUCACCGUGUUGGCCAGGCUGGUCUCAAACUCCUGAUCUUGUGAUCCACCCGCCUCGGCCUCCCACAGUACUGGGAUUACAAGUAUGAGCCACUGCGCCCAGCCGAGAGCAAGUUGUUAUAAAGUGGGUCAGCCUCUUUGAUCCCCUCACUCAGCACACACCUGCUCACCUUUCUGCUUUUCCUCCAUGUUAUGAGACAGCAUGAAACCCUCACUAGCAGCUGAAUAGAUGCUGGCGUCAUGUUCUUAGACUUUCCAGCUAUCAGAAUUGUGAACUAAAUAAAUCUCUUUUCUUAGUAAAUUA